GGAACUACUGACUUGAUGAAUCAUUGCAAUUGAUGAGAAAUUUUGCUACAAAUUUAGGCAUAGUUUUGUUGAGAGAAAAACUGACAUGAGUGUUUUCCCUUUUGACCUCAAGAGAUCUGAACGAAAACUGGGUUCUACAGAUCCCCAAUGAGUCUCCCCUUAACAGACAUGUCCACUUUAUGCUAAUCCCAUGCAGUUUUAGGCUUUAAAGAUGCGUGGGAUAUUUGCUAGCUGUGCACUCAGCACUGCUGCUGGCUGCAGCCUGGGCAGAUCACCACCAUGAUGAUCAACAAGGACUACAUCAGGCACUGGCAUGUCUCAGUCUCAACGGAGUCAGAGGAAUCUUGUUUUGAGUCCCACACGGUUGUGCUGAGAGUCACUGAGAUGAGAACAGAGGCGGCAGCUAUCACAUUAAUGGAAACAUCCAUAAUAAGUUUGCCACGUUCCAGAAUUGACAGACCCUUCUUGGUGUUCAUCAUGGAGCACUCAACCAGGAGCAUCCCGUUCAUGGGCAAGAUCAACAACCCCACAGCCAUGUAAACAUGCAUGUGUUACAUUCUCUCACUGCAGCAGCUACAGGACAUGAGCUCUUUUUACCUCAGCAUCUGAAAGCUCUGUAGAGAUGUCACAGUGAUAUUAAGAGGGGAAAUGAUAAAUGGAGGAUAGUUUGAUGAAUAAGUCAACAGAUCUAUCAUCAAUUCACAGAAAUGUCAGUCUAUUAAUCUGCUUUUCAUUCUGUCAGUGCAACAUAUGAUUCACCAUACCGGUGUAUAAACCUGGCUAGGUGUAUAAAUAUCUAAAUACAUCAUUACAUAUUGUAUCCAGCUGACUGUUGUACAUGAUUCACAUAAUAAACAUAUCAUUUGAGCGCCUGCUAACACACUGAGGAAAGAAGUUGUUGCUGUUUCAACAUGUUUAAGUAAAAUAAAGAUUUGAAAAGAAAAACUGGAAUUUUGUUAUUUUAACAAUAAGUUCAUGGAUGUCUACAAUGCCAAUUAAUGCUGAAUUAUUGAUAGAUUAUUUAACGAUUCCUUCAAAGGCUGCUGGUUUCUGGUGUAUCAUGUGUAAUUGUGUGAUGAUUGGCUCAUGCACAUUUAAUAAAACUAACACACAUUCUCAGAAGCCUACUGCACAGCGCUUCUCAACACA